AACGAACGCUGGCGGCAUGCCUAACACAUGCAAGUCGAACGAAGUCUUCGGACUUAGUGGCGCACGGGUGCGUAACGCGUGGGAAUCUGCCCUUGGGUGCGGAAUAACUUCUCGAAAGGGAUGCUAAUACCGCAUAAUGUCGUAAGACCAAAGAUUUAUCGCCCAAGGAUGAGCCCGCGUAAGAUUAGCUAGUUGGUGGGGUAAAAGCCUACCAAGGCGACGAUCUUUAGCUGGUCUGAGAGGAUGAUCAGCCACACUGGGACUGAGACACGGCCCAGACUCCUACGGGAGGCAGCAGUGGGGAAUAUUGGACAAUGGGCGAAAGCCUGAUCCAGCAAUGCCGCGUGAGUGAUGAAGGCCCUAGGGUUGUAAAGCUCUUUUACCAGGGAUGAUAAUGACAGUACCUGGAGAAUAAGCUCCGGCUAACUCCGUGCCAGCAGCCGCGGUAA
rnacentral:rRNA from 1 species